rnacentral:rRNA from 1 species
GACGAACGCUGGCGGCGUGCUUAACACAUGCAAGUCGAACGGAAAGGCCCUGCUUUUGUGGGGCGCUCGAGUGGCGAACGGGUGAGUAACACGUGAGUAACCUGCCCUUGACUUUGGGAUAACUCUAGGAAACUGGGGCUAAUACCGGAUAGGAGCUCCUGCUGCAUGGUGGGGGUUGGAAAGUUUCGGCGGUUGGGGAUGGACUGGCGGCUUAUCAGCUUGUUGGUGGGGUAGUGGCUUACCAAGGCUUUGACGGGUAGCCGGCCUGAGAGGGUGACCGGCGACAUUGGGACUGAGAUACGGCCCAGACGCGUACGGGAGGCAGCAGGGGGGAAUAUUGCAGAAUGGGCGGAAGCCUGAGGCAGCAGCGCCGCGUGCGGGAUAACGGCCUUCGAGUGGUAAACCGCUUUCGCCGGUGACGAAGCGGGAGUGACGGUAAUGAGUAAAGAAGCACCGGCUAACUACGUG